UUCUGGGUGAAAAAUAGGACAAACCCACAAGCAGGUCCCAGACACAAUCCCCAGCCCAGUCUGGUGCAAUUCCUCUGAGGGCGUUGAUGGUAUUUCUGGUGUGUUAGUUUGAUGCACUAAAGACAGUAGUCGUUUGGAACUAAUACCCCUCCAGGGAACACUGGUCAGACACCUGGAGUCCAGGUACCACAAGGAAGGUGAGGGCUGGAUGAGGUGGACAUUGGAUGGAAUGAGUCACUAGCACUCUUCUGAUAUCCUUAGCAUCUUGGGAUGUCCCUACAGGGCAGCACCAGCUGCUUGGGCCUCCCAGCAUGUGAUAUUGUAAUAACGCAAGUCUAGGAGGAGCUGUGAUAAAAGCUGUCUGGUCUGCGUAGGACCAGGGCUGUCAGGGGUAAACUGAGAAGUCAGAGAGCUUAUCCCAGUGCGACACUCACAGACUCUUCAUGCUGGCCCCAGACACCCACGCCCUUUCUGGGGCAAUGUCUCAGGUGCUAGAACCCGAAGAGUUGCAGCCUGGGGCCCAAAGCUUCUGCUUCCAGAGCUGGAGGGAUCUGUGUCUGUCGGGGUGCUCCCAGGCACAAGGGGUUCAGUGAGAAGACCAGACAUUGGCUGGGACAGCUCCAUACUGGGCACAGCAUGUUUACCCUGCCUGGGCUGGGCAGCUCAGACCCGCUCUGGGACAGUGGAGAAGGAAGAGGGUGGCUUUCUACUCGAGAUCAUUCAAAUAAAUCAGGUUUCUGAGUGAUUGACAGCAAGCAUCACUCCAGGUGUGAUGUCCAUGUCUUCAGAAGGUGUGACAGCAGCGUUCCUCAAAGCACUGUUCUCAGGUGCGAAUAUCGGAAGCCCUGGAUAUCCUUUAAAAAUGUAGAUUUGGAUUUGGUGGGGGUGGGUGGGGCUCAGGAAAGAGCAUCUUAAACAAGAACUCCCAAUGCUUCUUAUGGCCUGAAGAACCCCUCCCACCCUCCACAGAUGGAUACCUUACAAGUCAGGACAGGCAGAGAAGGCAAAUAUUUUUGGACCGCCAGCUUUUUCGUGUUCCUCAAAUCAUAUUAUACUAGUUAUUGUUUACUCGGUCAAACCUUGAGAAAAAAAUGUGUUUGGGGUAGUAGAGGGUUGCAUAAUAUGUCUUAUUCUCCUUUCUCUUCUCAGCCCCAGUGUAGUCCCUGAAUUUCCAGUAAGCAUUCCUGGCUUGGAGUCAUAUGAAUGUCACUUGUCCCCUUCUCUCCUAUCAGGUGGUAGAAACCUCAUCAUCAGGAAUGAGACGAUCACUCUCCAAGAGUAUUGUGGAAGUAUUAGGUGAUGGGAAAAUACGUAGGUGCUGUGCAAAGCUGGCAUCUUCUCUUCAAGCACAUCUGCAUCCAGUGGGCACUGCCACCGUCAGACAGUGAGUUGUCAAGAUGUCUAUGCUCGGGCCGGCCGAGUGGCGUGUUGGUUAGGUGCUGGCUUGGGAUGCCAGAGGGCCCUGGUUCGGA